rnacentral:rRNA from 1 species
GACAGAGGUCUCGAGCGUUAGGCGGAAUCACUGGGCUUAAAGCGUGUGUAGGUGGAUGUCUAAGUACCUUGUGAAAUCCCACGGCUUAACCGUGGAAUUGCUUGGUAUACUGGAUGUCUUGAGCCAGCUAGGGGCAACCGGAACAAAUGGUGGAGCGGUGAAAUGCGUAGAUAUCAUUUGGAACGCCAAUGGUGAAAACAGGUUGCUGGGGCUGUGCUGACACUGAGACACGAAAGCCAGGGGAGCAAACGGG